UACAUUGAGGGAAGCAUUAGAAACACA
rnacentral:sRNA from 1 species